rnacentral:lncRNA from 1 species
GACGUAAUUGCCGUCUCAGGGUCCCUGGGUAGGUUGUGGAAGAUGUCUAGUAACUACCAUCCCUCCCUUUCGUUCAAUAUAAAAGAGGAGGAACUAAGAAGGGGUGAUGUUGAGGCCGGAGAGCAAUUUGGACUAUUUCCUGUUGUCCGGGGUUGUCGCAUGUUCGGGCAUUGCUGAUCCUCACCAUCAGGGCACACUCCGUAACCAUGAGACUCAGGCUUUGUGGCUAGCAGCCCGUAGUCCCGUAACAGUAAAUUAGUUGUUUGAUUAGAGAGUUUUUUGAGUUUGUUGUUGAAGAAAUGCCAGAGGAGAAGAAAUUGAUAAAAGAGGGUUCGAUGACAGCCAGGAGGGGCAAGAUUUGAACUGCCCUUUCAUCAUGUCUGGCAGCUAUUGCGUGCAACAGGAAUUGUGCUUUUAUUUUGGGAGAUUGGAACUCCUGAAAAAUGAGGCCUAGCUGGAAAAGAGACCACUGGGGACAGACCUCUCUGAUGCUACAACACAGCCCAAGCUCCCAUAGUUGGUGCCAUGAAGAGAGCUUCACAGAGCUGACCUGCCUUCUCCACCACAGUGGGCUAAACCAUUGGAAAUCCCGAGCCAGGAGCAAUCCUGGUCCUCAAGUUGCUUCUGUCUGUCAUUCUGCCACAGCAAUGAGAAAAUCAGCAAUAACUGAAGCAGCAAGCCUUUGUUCUGCGGAAGCUCGUUUCACUUCUCGUAAAGAGCAAAACUGCCUCGGGACAGCGUCGGAGCACUGGAGAUCCCAUUUAACGUUGAUGGCAGCUCUUGUUCUUAUUUUUAAUUAAUUAUGUGUAUGGGUGUUUUGUUUGCAUGCAUAUCUGUGUACCUCAUGUGUGCCCAGAGAUGCCCAGAAGAGGGAGUCAGCAUCAAAGCCCCUGGCUAACAUGUCUCAGCAGUUAAAAAUAUAGCUGUUGCUUUUAAAUGUC